ACGAACUGUGCAAACGUUAUUCGGAUUUACUGGGCUUAAAGAGUUCGUAGGCGGCCUGAUAAGUCGGGUGUGAAAUCCCCCAGCCCAACUGGGGAACUGCGCUCGAUACUGUCGGGCUUGAGGGAGAUAGAGGUGAGCGGAACUGAUGGUGGAGCGGUGAAAUGCGUUGAUAUCAUCAGGAACACCGGUUGCGAAAGCGGCUCACUGGGUCUCUUCUGACGCUGAGGAACGAAAGCUAGGGGAGCAAACGG
rnacentral:rRNA from 1 species